AUUCCCGAGGCUGGCUCCGAGGGGGACCCGGAAUACAGGCUGGCGGGGGGCCGGCGGGGGCCGAGCUCCCGGAGGAGGGGAAGGCGGAGGUGGCCCCGUCCUUGGGCAUCAACUAUUGUCUAGGCGCCCGGGCCCCCGCUCGCGCCGUCCCCGAGGCUCAGCGCCCCCAUCCCGCCCGCCAGCAGAAAGAACUGAGGGGGCGGCCAGUACGGGAAGCAAGUGCGGGGGUCCGGGCUCCGAAGGUCCAAGUCUCGGGUGAGAUCACCACGGAGCGGCUUAGCGCGGCGCACAAGUCUCGCGAGAGAAGCGGCGGCUGGGCCCUGCAGGCGGAGGAAGUGGAAAAAGUCGCGGGAGGGUAGGGGACCGCGGAACUUCUGGUUGCUAUGACGACGGCAAAGCCCUGGAUUCCUGUCUCCUGCGGAGAGCAGAGGCUGCAAACGCAUCCGCAGACGCCUUUAUACGUACUCCAAAAUGCUAGUAAGGAUGAAGAUGAACUCUCCUCAGCCCGUGUCUUUUAACUGUAGAAACUUUUCUGAGAAAUGAAAAGAGGCUUGCUCAUGACUUGGAAGCGGUGGGCUGAGGCCUCCCAAGACCAUCUGGCUUGUUCCAUUGCCAGCCAGAGUGGAGGCGACAUUCACACGAACCCAGGAGCUGCAGGGGCGCGUGAGCUACAGCUGCCUUGUGGCAUCCAAGGAGUGCGCAACUAGUCUCACUCUGUUGCCCAGGCUGGAGUGCAGUGGCGCGAUCUCAGCUUACUUCAGCCUCCGCCUCCCGGUUUCAAGUGAAUUCUCCAGCCUCAACUUCACAAGUAGCUGGGAUUACAGGGCAUUCAAGCAGCCCUGAGGAGAGGUCCACAUGGUGAGCCACUGAGGGCCUUGCCAAGAGCCAGCACCAACGGUCCAGGUUUGGAGUGUACCACCUUGGAAGUGAAUCUUCCAGUCCAGUCAAGCCUUCAGAUGACUUCAGAACCGUCCAUGUAAGCCACUCUUGGAUUCCUGACCCACAGAAACUGUUGGAGGCAUUAUCAACAGUUUCUAACAUCACAGACAGACAAACAUGUGCCUCCUGAUUGAAAAAACAGAACAUCACCUGUAGUCUUGCCAGUGAGAUCAAACUGAAGUCCAAUUAACCUCUGGAUCCAGCUGCCAAUUUGCAGGAAAUAGAGGAGAGAAGCAUCUGUUGAACUGCACCAUGAGUAUACACUCAGCAAAGGCCAAACUGUGGAAAAUGAUACAGGUCAAACAGCCUGGAUUCUUUAACAGUAAGUGAUGUUUCUGAAGCACCAAUGAAAAUGAAGUCCUGAAGUCCUGUGCUCAAUAUGAAAUGUUGGAAGUUAGAAGAAAAAAACAAAACUUGGAUCCAAUCUCAAGGCACUUUUUGUUUAAUGGGAAGAAGUGGAUUAUUUUAAAAGCUACAAAUAAAGUUACAUAAAAGUA
rnacentral:lncRNA from 1 species